UAAACUGUGCUAACAUGCGACUACUUCGUU
rnacentral:sRNA from 1 species